AGAGUUUGAUCCUGGCUCAGGACGAACGCUGGCGGCGUGCUUAACACAUGCAAGUCGAACGAGAAUCUGUGGAUCGAGGAUUCGUCCAAGUGAAGCAGAGGACAGUGGCGGACGGGUGAGUAACGCGUGAGGAACCUGCCUUUCAGAGGGGGACAACAGUUGGAAACGACUGCUAAUACCGCAUGAUACAUUUGGGUGGCAUCAUCUGAAUGUCAAAGAUUUAUCGCUGAAAGAUGGCCUCGCGUCUGAUUAGCUGGUUGGUGAGGUAACGGCCCACCAAGGCGACGAUCAGUAGCCGGACUGAGAGGUUGACCGGCCACAUUGGGACUGAGAUACGGCCCAGACUCCUACGGGAGGCAGCAGUGGGGAAUAUUGGGCAAUGGGCGCAAGCCUGACCCAGCAACGCCGCGUGAAGGAAGAAGGCUUUCGGGUUGUAAACUUCUUUUAAGAGGGAAGAGCAGAAGACUGUACCUCUAGAAUAAGCCACGGCUAACUACGUGCCAGCAGCCGCGGUAAUACGUAGGUGGCAAGCGUUGUCCGGAUUUACUGGGUGUAAAGGGCGUGCAGCCGGGAAUGCAAGUCAGAUGUGAAAUCCAUGGGCUUAACCCAUGAACUGCAUUUGAAACUGUAUUUCUUGAGUACUGGAGAGGCAAUCGGAAUUCCUAGUGUAGCGGUGAAAUGCGUAGAUAUUAGGAGGAACACCAGUGGCGAAGGCGGAUUGCUGGACAGCAACUGACGGUGAGGCGCGAAAGUGUGGGGAGCAAACAGGAUUAGAUACCCUGGUAGUCCACACUGUAAACGAUGAAUACUAGGUGUGCGGGGACUGACCCCCUGCGUGCCGCAGUUAACACAAUAAGUAAUCCACCUGGGGAGUACGACCGCAAGGUUGAAACUCAAAGGAAUUGACGGGGGCCCGCACAAGCAGUGGAGUAUGUGGUUUAAUUCGACGCAACGCGAAGAACCUUACCAAGUCUUGACAUCCUGCGACGCACAUAGAAAUAUGUGUUUCCUUCGGGACGCAGAGACAGGUGGUGCAUGGUUGUCGUCAGCUCGUGUCGUGAGAUGUUGGGUUAAGUCCCGCAACGAGCGCAACCCUUAUGGUCAGUUACUACGCAAGAGGACUCUGGCCAGACUGCCGUUGACAAAACGGAGGAAGGUGGGGAUGACGUCAAAUCAUCAUGCCCUUUAUGACUUGGGCUACACACGUACUACAAUGGCGUUAAACAAAGAGAAGCAAGGCCGCGAGGUGGAGCAAAACCCAGAAACAACGUCCCAGUUCGGACUGCAGGCUGCAACUCGCCUGCACGAAGUCGGAAUUGCUAGUAAUCGCAGAUCAGCAUGCUGCGGUGAAUACGUUCCCGGGCCUUGUACACACCGCCCGUCACACCAUGAGAGCCGGGGGGACCCGAAGUCGGUAGUCUAACCGCAAGGAGGACGCCGCCGAAGGUAAAACUGGUGAUUGGGGUGAAGUCGUAACAAGGUA
rnacentral:rRNA from 1 species